UACGUAGGGGGCAAGCGUUGUCCGGAUUUAUUGGGCGUAAAGAGCGUGUAGGCGGUUUGGUAGGUCCGUUGUGAAAACUCGAGGCUCAACCUCGAGACGCCGAUGGAAACCAUCAGACUAGAGUCCGGAAGAGGAGAGUGGAAUUCCUGGUGUAGCGGUGAAAUGCGCAGAUAUCAGGAAGAACACCCGUGGCUAAGGCGGCUCUCUAGUACGGUACUGACGCUGAGACGCGAAAGCGUGGGGGAGCAAACAGG
rnacentral:rRNA from 1 species